rnacentral:rRNA from 1 species
AAGAACGCAGCAACUGUGCGUCAUCGUGUGAACUGCAGGACACAUGAACAUCGACAUUUUGAACGCAUAUCGCAGUCCAUGCUGUUGUGUACUUUAAUUAAUUUUAUAGUGCUGCUUGGACUACAUAUGGUUGAGGGUUG